rnacentral:lncRNA from 1 species
UCUCUUUCAGUAUCGGGUAGCAUGAGCGAGGCUCCCCAGCACUGGAGCUGGGCCACACCGCCUGCACACGGAGCAGUAGACGGAGGCGUGACAGCAGGCAAGGCUUAACUGGCUUGCACCCCAGACUGUGCCUGGCAAAUUCUCACCUGCAUCUACAGGUCAGACCCCACCCCACGUCCAGGGUGGUCCUGCAGGCUGAGCAGCUCCCUCACCUGGACAGCAGC